ensembl:snoRNA U3 Small nucleolar RNA U3
AAGGCUAUACUUUCAGGGAUCUUUUCUAUAGUUGGUUACUAGAGAAGUCUCUCUGAUGGCGCAGAGUACGAGGAACCACGCGGGGGAGGCGCAGUGUUCCUUCCUGAAUGUGAAGCCGGCUCUUGGUGUUGCUUUGCUGCGACUGCCACUUGCCAUGGAUGAUCGUUCCUGCUGUCUCCCAGGAGGAGCUUGGGGGAAGGGACACAGUCUGAGUGGU